UACGGAGGGUGCAAGCGUUAUCCGGAAUCACUGGGUUUAAAGGGUGCGUAGGCGGCUAAAUAAGUCAGAGGUGAAAGCUUGCAGCUUAACUGCGAAAUUGCCUUUGACACUGUAUAGCUUGAAAGGAGCUGAGGUCAGCAGAAUGUGGCAUGUAGCGGUGAAAUGCAUAGAUAUGCCAUAGAAUACCAAUUGCGAAGGCAGCUGGCUGGGCUUACUUUGACGCUGAGGCACGGAAGCGUGGGGAUCGAUCAGG
rnacentral:rRNA from 1 species